UGGGGAAUUUUGGACAAUGGGCGCAAGCCUGAUCCAGCCAUGCCGCGUGAAGGAUGAAGUAUUUCGGUAUGUAAACUUCGAAAGAAUAGGAAGAAUAAAUGACGGUACUAUUUAUAAGGUCCGGCUAACUACGUGCCAGCAGCCGCGGUAAUACGUAGGGACCAAGCGUUGUUCGGAUUUACUGGGCGUAAAGGGCGCGUAGGCGGCAUGACAAGUCACUUGUGAAAUCUCUGGGCUUAACCCAGAACGGCCAAGUGAUACUGUCGCGCUAGAGUGCAGAAGGGGCAAUCGGAAUUCUUGGUGUAGCGGUGAAAUGCGUAGAUAUCAAGAGGAACACCUGAGGUGAAGACGGGUUGCUGGGCUGACACUGACGCUGAGGCGCGAAAGCUAGGGGAGCAAACGGGAUUAGAUACCCAUGUAGUCCCUGAGCGGGCUGGCAAGGCGCAU
rnacentral:rRNA from 1 species